rnacentral:rRNA from 1 species
AACGAACGCUGGCGGCGUGGAUUAGGCAUGCCAAGUCGAACGAGAAUCUGGAGGUUCAAGUUUUCGGACAAGAACUUUCGGAGGAAAGUGGCGGAAGGGUGAGUACAACAUGGAUAAUCUACCUUCAAGUUGGGUAUAGCUUCCCGAAAGGGGAGAUAAUCCCGAAUGUGGUGAUCCGGCGCCUGUCGGAGAAUCCAAAGGUGGGGACCGCAAGGCCUGCCGCUUGAAGAUGAGUCCGUGCACUAUCAGCUAGUUGGUGAGGUAAUGGCUCACCAAGGCGAUGACGGUUAGCUGGUCUGAGAGGAUGGUCAGCCACACUGGGACUGAGAUACUGCCCAGACUCCUACGGGAGGCUGCAGUCGAGAAUCAUUCGCAAUGGCGCAAGCCUGACGGUGCGACGUCGCGUGGAGGAUGAAGGUCUUCGGAUUGUAAACUCCUGUCAUGUGGGAUAAAUGGCCAGGGCAUGAAUAGUGCCUUGG